rnacentral:rRNA from 1 species
UACGUAGGUGGCAAGCGUUGUCCGGAUUUACUGGGCGUAAAGAGCGCGCAGGCGGUCGUUCAAGUCGCGUGUGAAAGCCCCCGGCUCAACUGGGGAGGGUCACGCGAUACUGAUCGACUCGAAGGCAGGAGAGGGUAGUGGAAUUCCCGGUGUAGUGGUGAAAUGCGUAGAUAUCGAGAGGAACACCGGUGGCGAAGGCGGGUCUCUGGGCAGUAACUGACGCUGAGGAGCGAAAGCGUGGGGAGCGAACAGG